CGCAUGUCGUCAGUCUACAGUUGAAAAUUGUGUGGAGUGGACGUGUCGUCGCGAAUUGUGAUUAUCGCAGUUUAAUUGGUAGCGUUAUGGUAAUAUUCUCGAAGGCGGGAAAAAUUCCAAUAUGGACGCCAUUGGUGACUUUUUUUCGUGGUAAAAUUUUACAUUUCUUUGUUUCAGAAAUCUCCUUCAGCUUUCAACAAUGGAUUAUGUGGAAUGGAUUACAUCUUAUCAUCAGAUAAAUAUUCUAAUUUUUUAUAUUAGUUUGUUUCAGGAUUUCUUACAGGAACAGAAGAUUGUAUAAUUGAUUAAAAAAAAGUGUAUUUAAAAUUAAGUGCAUGCAGAAUCAAGGGUAUUAAAUAAAGUUAUGUAUUGUAGAAAAGUAGAUACUGUAGAUAAAAUGUUAUAGUAAAAUGCUUUCUGGGAAGCUUAUUUCGCUUAUUUUUUUUCUUUUUUUUGCGCACGCCUUUUAUCAUCAAUCAUUUUUCAUUUCUACACCGAUGGAAGUGUAAAAUAUUGAUAGAAAGUCUCUUAAUUUAAAUUUUAUUUUUUCAGAUUUAGUCUUCC